GGUUAUGUGGCUUAGUGGUAAAGUGCUUGCCUAGCAUGCAUGAAGCCCUGGGUUUAAUUCCUCAGUACUG
rfam:Dipodomys ordii contig_90012, whole genome shotgun sequence.